UACGGGAGGGAGCAGUGGGGAAUAUUGCACAAUGGGCGAAAGCCUGAUGCAGCUAUGCCGCGUGUAUGAAGAAGGCCUUAGGGUUGUAAAGUACUUUCAUCGGGGAGGAAAAACAAAACUAAUAAUUUUAUUUCUUGACGUUACCCGAAAAAGAAGCACCGGCUAACUCCGUGCCAGCAGCCGCGGUAAUACGGAGGGUGCUAGCGUUAAUCAGAAUUACUGGGCGUAAAGAGCACGUAGGUGGUUUUUUUAAGUCAGAUGUGAAAUCCCUGGGCUUAACCUGGAACUGCAUUUUGAAACUGAAAUACUAGAGUAUCGUAGAGGGAGGUAGAAUUCUAGGUGUAGCGGUGAAAUGCGUAGAUAUCUGGAGGAAUACCUGUGGCGAAAGCGGCCUCCUAAACGAAUACUGACACUGAGGUGCGAAAGCGUGGGGAGCAAACAGGGAUUAGAUACC
rnacentral:rRNA from 1 species